CGUCAAAUCAUCAUGCCCCUUAUGGCCAGGGCUACACACGUGCUACAAUGGCGGCGACAGAGGGAAGCGAAGCGGCGACGCGGAGCCAACCCCAAAAACGCCGCCCCAGUUCGGAUUGUAGCCUGCAACCCGGCUACAUGAAGCCGGAAUCGCUAGUAAUCGCGGAUCAGAAUGCCGCGGUGAAUACGUUCCCGGGUCUU
rnacentral:rRNA from 1 species